rnacentral:rRNA from 1 species
GACGAACGCUGGCGGCGUGCUUAACACAUGCAAGUCGAACGGAAAGGCCCUGCUUUUGUGGGGUGCUCGAGUGGCGAACGGGUGAGUAACACGUGAGUAACCUGCCCUUGACUUUGGGAUAACUUCAGGAAACUGGGGCUAAUACCGGAUAGGAGCUCCUGCUGCAUGGUGGGGGUUGGAACGUUUCGGCGGUUGGGGAUGGACUCGCGGCUUAUCAGCUUGUUGGUGGGGUAGUGGCUUACCAAGGCUUUGACGGGUAGCCGGCCUGAGAGGGUGACCGGCCACAUUGGGACUGAGUUACGGCCCAGACUCCUACGGGAGGCAGCAGUGGGGAAUAUUGCACAAUGGGCGGAAGCCUGAUGCAGCACCGCCGCGUGCGGGAUGACGGCCUUCGGGUUGUAAACCGCUUUCGCCUGUGACGAAGCGUGAGUGACGGUAAUGGGUAAAGAAGCACCGGCUAACUACGUG